GACCCUUCUCAAAUUAUAUGCAUACCUGGAAUUCCAGAACCAGAACGAGGUUUAAAUGGCACGAAUGUAAAAACACUGACCACUCUUAUCUCACUAUAUAGCCACGAUGUCGGGUGUUAAUAAAGAAAAGUUCUUAUUAUCAUUUUUGUGUGCCAAUGUGCUAUUCUGAUGGUAAAUAUAAUUUACCAUAUUCUAAAGGUUAAAGAUUAAAAAAACACACAACAAAUUAUGGAUGACUAACUUUCUAAGAUAAGAAGGGAUAAAGGGUCAUUGUUAAAGGUCACUGAAUCUACUGUGGUGUGUUCCAAACAUUUUAAACUGAGGAUUACAACUGGACUCCACUUAAAAAUGGUUCUAUUCCACCAGUGAUUAAUUUGGUUGAACAAACAACUCCAAUUAAGAAGGCCACUUAUAUGAAAAAUUCUUUCACCAAAGAAAAUGCUCAUUGAUAGCAUUGUCUAUAAUGAAGAUGAAGAAGAUAAUGCAACAAGUACCGAUUGCCAACCAUCUACAUCUUAUGGGUCUACAGAAACACAGGAAGAAAAAUAUAUUUAAAUGCUUCAUGAGGCUUGAACUGGAGGAAAAGACCCUGCAACUCAGCUGAGUCUGUAUUGAAAUUACAAAGGAACAUGCACACGUUCGCAUUUGUGUCAUUGUUACAUGGAUGCAUGUCAGAUGUUGAGAUGUAAUUGAAUUUUUUGAAACUGGUGAUGAUGUGGUGGUUUUUAUAUGUAUAUUUAAAUUGGUUUUCAAUAAAAAAGGAUAAUAAAAACAAUAUAAUAUUAGGAUUGAAGUAUUAAAGUUUAGUCUUUAUUAAAAUUUUGAAAUAAACAAGAAAAUUCAUUCUUUCUCUGUAUUCUAUGGCCUUUCCCUUAAUUAUAUUGCUCAAUGGUAGUAUUGGAAGUACAAAUUAAAAUUCAUAAAGUACAUGUAUACUUUAUGAGUACAUUGUAUAGAAUUUGGCUAGGCAGAAACUAUAGUAAACGGUCUAUAUAACUGAGUCAAUAAAUGUUUGAUAUAAUCCACCCAAUACACAUCUGAUAAAGAUUUACCACAUGUCAUUAGGGGCUUAUCUGUAAGAUUCAAUUUGCAAUUACCUUUAUGUUGGCAUCAAGAAUCCAUAAAAAACAGAACAACAAAGAUUAUAUAAUACAAGACACCACAGAUUUAUAUCUAUAAACCUUAUAUUAUGUAAGGAAAUAUCUUUAUGACAGCAAAAUUGAAACCGAAAGUAAAAAAAUCUCUUCUCUUACUCACCUCUUAAACCAUAAAUGGAUACCUCAUAAAUAUAAUUGAAUUCUUUAUAGAGGGAUUAACUUUGUCUUGAUUAAUAUAUAACUCUACAAAUGAGAAAUUAAUUUUAGGAACCAAAGAUAAGUCGAUUUCAUUGUAUACACAGCUUAUACUGGCUUAUCAGCUUGCCAGUUAUGCCUCGUUCUGGUUCAUGUUCUAAAAAUAGCUGUAUAAUAUUAAGAAUGGU